GUUAUCAAUGAUUGUAUGCUAAUUUUUUUUUACCAUGCUAAUGCUGAUAAUUGAUGAUUGAUAAGUUCAGUUUAUCAUGCUGAGGGAACU